GGUCAUUUAGAGGAAGUAAAAGUCGUAACAAGGUCUCCGUUGGUGAACCAGCGGAGGGAUCAUUACCGAGUUUACAACUCCCAAACCCCUGUGAACAUACCAAUUGUUGCCUCGGCGGAUCAGCCCGCUCCCGGUAAAACGGGACGGCCCGCCAGAGGACCCCUAAACUCUGUUUCUAUAUGUAACUUCUGAGUAAAACCAUAAAUAAAUCAAAACUUUCAACAACGGAUCUCUUGGUUCUGGCAUCGAUGAAGAACGCAGCAAAAUGCGAUAAGUAAUGUGAAUUGCAGAAUUCAGUGAAUCAUCGAAUCUUUGAACGCACAUUGCGCCCGCCAGUAUUCUGGCGGGCAUGCCUGUUCGAGCGUCAUUUCAACCCUCAAGCCCAGCUUGGUGUUGGGACUCGCGAGUCAAAUCGCGUUCCCCAAAUUGAUUGGCGGUCACGUCGAGCUUCCAUAGCGUAGUAGUAAAACCCUCGUUACUGGUAAUCGUCGCGGCCACGCCGUUAAACCCCAACUUCUGAAUGUUGACCUCGGAUCAGGUAGGAAU
rnacentral:rRNA from 1 species